rnacentral:lncRNA from 1 species
UCUACCAUUUUUAUUAACGAAAUCCUACCGGGUGACUUUCUUUGCUGUUUAGGAAGGUCGCCGCCGAUGAAUUUUCCACCCACUGGAUCAAAUGUAAACCUGUGUUCAGUAUUUUUGGUGAGAAUGUUUAUGUAAACCUGGUGUGCAUCUUCCUAAUGCAUGGACAAGCCUUCAAACAUGAGGGAAAUUACGAAAAUGUCGGGUUGACCAAACCACUUUUCAAAUUUGUCACUCUCAGGCGUCGGUGGAGAGGGCGCUCCCGAGUCUGAUGCGUCCGCAUAUGGGAUGUCGCCACAUGUCCAAAUGAAAGGAGUGGUCAGCGACUUGUGGCUUGGCUGACUCUUUAGAGUGGUUUGGCUGACUCUUCGGAGUGGUUCGGCUGACCUCUCCCAUUAACUGUCUUGCGAAAAUAAUCCAUCGUUAAAAACCGUUUUUUAACGAAAUUACCUUCUCUUGCGUAUUUAUAAGCUGA